rnacentral:lncRNA from 13 species
UCUUAGAAGAUAUACUUUGGAAUGAUAGGUACCAGCAACCAGGUCUUGCAAGAGCAUAUAAUUAUUGUGUAAUAAUUUCCCAUUUGUCAUACAAGGUUACAUGCUUUCAUAAGGUGUGGAGUUGCUUUUUACCCAGCAACCACAUAGCCUGAGGCACCUGAUCCCGAGUGAAAUUGCUGCACUGUAGAAUACAGUGAUCUCUGAAUAGACAAAUGCUUAAUUUUUGUUACCACGCAAUGAUCUUUUUUAUUGUCUAUGUAUCUUAGGUCUCAUAAGGCUCAUGGAGAUGCUAAUUUGCCCUUUCAUUCUGCAAGUGGACUCAAGCAGUUAGGAGAAAAGUUGUGUGUGUCAUAGUUGGAUAUUUUAGCAUUCUGCUGACUGUAACACAUGGAAGAUGGUAGUUCAAAGUUCCACAAGUAGCAGACCAAUGAAGUGGCCUUUGAUUGAGCCACAAUACUUUUUUCUCCAUUCCAUUUUUUUCCGGAGAAGACAACAGAUGUUACAAAUCAUCAAGAUCUGCAUGGGUGACUGAACAGCCAACACUUUAAAAAACAACCUGAAAUAAAUGCCAUGUUCCUCUGAAUGUGGUGGACUGAAAAAGUGGUUUUCUAGGCUACAUGCAACCUCAAUAUAUGUUUUGUACGGGCCUCUUGUAAAAAGUAAUUUCCAUUAAGAACUCUACCCUAGUAUCAGAUUUGGGUGAAGCUGGACAAAAUCAUAGAAUCAUAGAAUUGUCAUCAAAAUGCUUUCAAAAAGUUAGCAUAAGCCUUGUUUCCCAGCAAAAAAAACAGGAAAAGCAAAAAUCUCUAAAUUGUAUGUGAAGUUUCUUCAGUUUUCUUGACAAACUUGCACCAAAUCAAAUGUUUCAGCAAAGGAAGAGGAUUAAGGAAGGUGUUCGGGAAGAAGGACUUGGUUGCUCACAUGGGCAGCUGAUUCAGCCUUAGGACAUCAGAGAACUCCUAAACCGCUCCUGGUGCCAAAACCAAACCUGUGAUCUUCCUGCUCUAUUUCUACUCAAUGUAGAAUCUUCCACUGCUGUUACUGCUUUACUGAACUCCCCUGCCUCAUCAGGGCAGCUGCCAUUUCUCCACUUUGUGACAUUUCAAUUUUCUCUUCAAGGCCAGGAUACUGAAAUUCCGCAGGAGGUUCUGGAGAUAUCAGAGAAGAACCUUUGGGUUGAGCAUUCAGAGAAGAUGGAAGAAAGAAACAAAGAGGUAGGACAGGAAAAUUUAAAUAUUCCAUUAUAUGCUGGGGUCCUUUCUUCUGCCUGUCUGACUUUUUGCUGAGCAACAUGGAGUCCUGCUGCUCUGGAAAGCAAACAGAGGUGAAACCCAGACAGAGGAUAAAGUUGUGCAGUGUUGUAAUAGUGCAGAGGUGAUUGGACACAUCCAAAAGGAAGUACGACACUUCAGCAUUAAAUUUUAAAUGUAACUUUUGUUUUGCAACAUAUAUUGAAAAUUUUAGUUUUUUUAAUCUUUAUUUUGUAUAGCCACAAGUAUCAGAACUUUGAGGUUUCACAAAAAAUGGAAAACCUUCUGUUCAGCUCCACUUGUCUUGUGCAAGGUGACUUCAUUAUGAUUUCAGAUACGUCACAGCUAAGGAAUAACUCCUUACUAGUGUAGAUGAACAUGUGUAGGAAGAGAAUGUUAUUGGUGUACUCCUACUGCAAGCAAAACACUUUGAACAUACUAGCUUCAGCUGUAGUUGCCUUUUAAAUUGCUUUUGUCACCUAGAAGGUCAAUGUAGAAGGAGAUUUUACAGAAAAGAGUGAAAAAGGGGGCAAUAAAACGAUACUGAAAGCAAAGAAG